rnacentral:rRNA from 1 species
GAUGAACGCUGGCGGCGUGCCUAAUACAUGCAAGUCGAGCGAACGGACGAGAAGCUUGCUUCUCUGAUGUUAGCGGCGGACGGGUGAGUAACACGUGGAUAACCUACCUAUAAGACUGGGAUAACUUCGGGAAACCGUAGCUAAUACCGGAUAAUAUUUUGAACCGCAUGGUUCAAAAGUGAAAGACGGUCUUGCUGUCACUUAUAGAUGGAUCCGCGCUGCAUUAGCUAGUUGGUAAGGUAACGGCUUACCAAGGCAACGAUGCAUAGCCGACCUGAGAGGGUGAUCGGCCACACUGGAACUGAGACACGGUCCAGACUCCUACGGGAGGCAGCAGUAGGGAAUCUUCCGCAAUGGGCGAUAGCCUGACGGAGCAACGCCGCGUGAGUGAUGAAGGUCUUCGGAUCGUAAAACUCUGUUAUUAGGGAAGAACAUAUGUGUAAGUAACUGUGCACAUCUUGACGGUACCUAAUCAGAAAGCCACGGCUAACUACGU